CUUUAUUGGAGAGUUUGAUCCUGGCUCAGGAUGAACGCUGGCGGCGUGCCUAAUACAUGCAAGUCGAGCGAACCGAUUAAGAGCUUGCUCUUAAGAAGUUAGCGGCGGACGGGUGAGUAACACGUAGGUAACCUGCCUAUAAGACUGGGAUAACUCCGGGAAACCGGGGCUAAUACCGGAUAACAUUUUGCACUGCAUAGUGCGAAAUUGAAAGGC
rnacentral:rRNA from 1 species